GACGAACGCUGGCGGCGUGCCUAAUACAUGCAAGUAGAACGCUGAAGGAGGAGCUUGCUUCUCUGGAUGAGUUGCGAACGGGUGAGUAACGCGUAGGUAACCUGCCUGGUAGCGGGGGAUAACUAUUGGAAACGAUAGCUAAUACCGCAUAACAGUAGAUAUCGCAUGAUAUCUACUUGAAAGGUGCAAUUGCAUCACUACCAGAUGGACCUGCGUUGUAUUAGCUAGUUGGUGAGGUAACGGCUCACCAAGGCGACGAUACAUAGCCGACCUGAGAGGGGGAUCGGCCACACUGGGAAUGGGACACGGCCCAGACUCCUACGGGAGGCAGCAGUAGGGAAUCUUCGGCAAUGGACGGAAGUCUGACCGAGCAACGCCGCGUGAGUGAAGAAGGGUUUCGGAUCGUAAAGCUCUGUUGUAAGAGAAGAACGAGUGUGAGAGUGGAAAGUUCACACUGUGACGGUAUCUUACCAGAAAGGGACGGCUAACUACGUG
rnacentral:rRNA from 1 species